CGGGACGGGUGAGUAAUGUCUGGGAAACUGCCUGAUGGAGGGGGGUAACUACUGGAAACGGUAGCUAGUACCGCAUAACGUCGCAAGACCAAAGAGGGGGACCUUCGGGCCUCUUGCCAUCGGAUGUGCCCAGAUGGGAUUAGCUAGUAGGUGGGGUAACGGCUCACCUAGGCGACGAUCCCUAGCUGGUCUGAGAGGAUGACCAGCCACACUGGAACUGAGACACGGUCCAG
rnacentral:rRNA from 1 species